UGUGCAUAAACAUUUAAUUCAACUCUUCUCUCAUGCAGCACCCUGACUGAUAGAAAGAAACAACCAAAGUUCUCGUGUUUGAACAAGUUUUGUUUUGAGCUAUAUCAUGGCUGCUUGUGAAGUAUUAUUUUGCGUGUUUUAUUUAAUUCAGUGAUCUGCAGCCUAAUUAAAGUAUAAAUUAUUGAAGCACGCAUUUUUAAAUAAGUAAAACGUAAAAUAAAAGUUUUCUAAGGCCAAAAUAUGGAAUUGAAGAGGGUGAUGCAGUAAUACUUCAUUGCACUAUCAAUUCGAAGCACGCAAUAGAAGCCAACAAUGGUGAACAUCAAUGGCGAAACCAUUGAAUACAUAUUUCAAACCACAUAUGGCGCGUUAAAGGUACGCAAACUUAUUGGUGUCACUUAUUGUAGCAGCGAAUAAUUUUCGAAGCGAUGGAAUAUGUGCUGCAAGCAAAUCCAAAACUAUGGACGCAAACGCUGCUACAUGGAACCCAAAUCAUUCACACACCAGAUAUUACGUUUAAUGUCACUUUUUUGCGUGCAAUUAAACCUUUUGGUCAACACAAGCACGAGAAUUGGAACGACAUGGUUUAGGUGCUUUUGAAACCGUUUAUUAUCACGACGUGUGUCAAAUGGGUUUUGCCAAUGAGCUAGAGGGCAAAGCAGUUUCAGUAUCUUUGAGCUUACCGGCACUUGGCCGUGCUAUUAGCAGCUAAAACACAGAAAUUAAAGGGAGGACUUUUUUGAUUCAUUUUCACCUUGUAUUGAGGAAUCAUAACGUUGUUGUAUCGCUUUACAAGGACAUAAAUUCACCGAAAUUAGUUCAAUGGAAAUACUACAGCAAGAGCAUGGAUGUUAAGACUUGAACAGUGCCGUGUUAGAUUUAGAAUUCCUGAAACAUAAGAAAUCCUCCUCCCAGAUGAAUCUAGUACUAGUGAAAUUAAUGAAAGAACCGAUCUUAUAACAACUCCGAAAGAAACCAAAAGAGUCCUCACAUAAUGUGCGCAGCUUACACUUCCAGACCGCACGGGGUAUUUGACAUUUUCCACUCUUCCUCCAGCCUUUAUCCGAUAGCAAAAAUUGUUCAAAUAUUCAUUUUCACCUACUUUAUACAUAUGUAUAUAGUGUAGUACGAUAAUAUAUGUAUAAAGUAAAUAUAAUAAUAAACAACUAAUUGGCAUGAUAUUUUCAAUAAAUAUGUAAUAUAAUUAAUGAUUU